rnacentral:rRNA from 1 species
CCCUUAGAUGUCCUGGGCGGCCCGCGCGCUACAAUGUCAGCUACUGAAGGUUAAUGCUUUGAAAGAGAGCGCGCUCUCCUUUUAAUUGCUCGCAUGCUGGGAUAAAUGAAUGCAAUUUUGUUUUGAAUGAGGAAUUCCUAGUAGCCAUGUUUCACUAGAAGAUGGCGAAUGCGUCCCUGCCCUUUGUACACACCGCCCGUCGCUCCUACCGAUGAGCGUUUUGGCGAAGACGGUUUGAGUAGCUGCGUAAUUUCGUGUUGUUGACUCCGGCAGUUUGAGCCUUCACGUUUAGAGGAAGGAGAAGUCGUAACA